UCUUACAACCUAUCUUAGUUUUAGGACAAAGCUUUAGAAUUUAAGACAAAAUCUUAUCUGAUCCUAACAAGAGUUGUGAGGGUCCUAAACAAAGGAAAUCAGAAGAUUAGAGGAGGAUCUUAGAGGGUGGAGUUAGGUUCUUGGAGAAACCUGAUCGAUACAAGGCUAGUUAUGUUCUAGGGGCUAGAACUCUUGAAGCAAGGAGAUG
rnacentral:lncRNA from 1 species